rnacentral:rRNA from 2 species
CGAAGCAACGCGAAGAACCUUACCAGGUCUUGACAUCUCCUGACAACCCUAGAGAUAGGGCGUUCCCCUUCGGGGGACAGGAUGACAGGUGGUGCAUGGUUGUCGUCAGCUCGUGUCGUGAGAUGUUGGGUUAAGUCCCGCAACGAGCGCAACCCUUGAUCUUAGUUGCCAGCAUUCAGUUGGGCACUCUAAGGUGACUGCCGGUGACAAACCGGAGGAAGGUGGGGAUGACGUCAAAUCAUCAUGCCCCUUAUGACCUGGGCUACACACGUGCUACAAUGGAUGGUACAAAGGGCUGCGAGACCGCGAGGUUAAGCGAAUCCCAUAAAACCAUUCUCAGUUCGGAUUGCAGGCUGCAACUCGCCUGCAUGAAGCCGGAAUCGCUAGUAAUCGCGGAUCAGCAUGCCGCGGUGAAUACGUUCCCGGGCCUUGUACACACCGCCCGUCACACCACGAGAGUUUGUAACACCCGAAGUCGGUGGGGUAACCUUUUGGAGCCAGCCGCCUAAGGUGGGACAGAUGAUUGGGGUGAAGUCGUAACAAGGUAACCA